rnacentral:lncRNA from 1 species
UGGGGAAAGGGUAGGCGAAGCCUUCCAAUGCCGCCAGAGAAGUUUUUGGGUGCUAGGCCCUGGGCAGCUGCCCUUUUUUUUUGUUUGGCUGCCGCCAGAGUGUUGUGCUCCUUACUUUGUACUGAAAUCGGUUCUUCUUCUUUUUAAGUUUAGUGUGUACAGUUUCCCAACAAUUUUUCUGAAGUGUGCAAUUUACUUAAUUUUUGUGCCAUGC